CUUUCUCCUUGUCUGAGCCACAGCUCGCUCGUUGCCUCCAGGUGUAUGGAGCAUCAUCCACACAAAGGGGAGGUCCGUGGGUGGGCUGGAGUGAAGUCACUAUGUCCCAUGUGCAUUCGUCUGGGGCCCCAUGCACAGCAGAUACCCACAGGAUGCCCUUCUGGAGAUGGAUAGGUGCAAGAGGCAAGCUCAAGGGCAUGGCACUUGGUACCCCUGCCUGUGUCACCACUCAGAAGGAAGCCCUCCCUCCUCACCUGCACCUCUUGUGGUGUGAGUUCCAACCAUAAGGUCAAGGACAGUGUGGCCCCAUCUUGGUGGCUCCAGCACCUUACCUGGCCCAUGGAAUCGGCUCCGGAAAUAUACAUGAACCAGAUGAUCCCUUCAUUCCCCUCCUCCCUCUCCCCCAGCGCUCCCAA